CAGCCGUAAACUAUGCGCGUUAGGUGUAUCGGUGACCACGAGUCACCGAGGUGCCGAAGGGAAACCGUGAAACGUGCCGCCUGGGAAGUACGGUCGCAAGGCUGAAACUUAAAGGAAUUGGCGGGGGGAGCACCACAACAGGUGGAGCCUGCGGUUUAAUUGGACUCAACGCCGGGAAGCUCACCGGAUAGGACAGCAGAAUGAUUGCCGGGCUGAAGACCCUGCAUGACUAGCUGAGAGGAGGUGCAUGGCGUAGACGUCU
rnacentral:rRNA from 1 species